UACGUAGGGUGCGAGCGUUAAUCGGAAUUACUGGGCCGUAAAGCGUGCGCAGGCGGUUCGUUGUGUCGGCGGUGAAAGCCCCGGGCUUAACCUGGGAAUGGCCGUCGAAACUGGCGAACUGGAGUGUGGCAGAGGGGGGUGGAAUUCCGCGUGUAGCAGUGAAAUGCGUAGAGAUCAGGAGGAAUACCGAUGGCGAAGGCAGGCUCUGGGCUGAUGACUGCGCUCAUGCACGAAGCGUGGGAGCGA
rnacentral:rRNA from 1 species